UACAGAGGGUGCAAGCGUUAAUCGGAAUUACUGGGCGUAAAGCGUGCGUAGACGGUUGCGUAAGUCAGAUGUGAAAGCCCCGGGCUCAACCUGGGAAUUGCAUUUGAGACUGCGUAGCUAGGGUGCGGAAGAGGGAAGCGGAAUUUCCGGUGUAGCGGUGAAAUGCGUAGAUAUCGGCAGGAACACCCAGGGGGAAACCAGUCGACUGGGCAUCUACUGACGCUGAGGUGCGAGAGCGUGGGGAGCGAACCGG
rnacentral:rRNA from 1 species